CCAUUUGGAGCUAGCCGUCGAAGGUGGGACAAAUGAUUGGGGUGAAGUCGUAACAAGGUAGCCGUAUCGGAAGGUGCGGCUGGAUCACCUCCUUUCUAAGGA
rnacentral:rRNA from 1 species